AAAAAAAAAAACUGCCUUUGAGCGGGGGACAACAUUUGGAAACGAAUGCUCAUACCGCAUAAAAACUUUACACACAAGUUUUAAGUUUGCACGAUGCAAUUGCAUCACUCAACGAUGAUCCCGCGUUGUAUUAGCUAGUUGGUGCAGUAAAGGCGCACCAAGGCGAUGAUACAUAGCCGACCUGAGAGGGUGAUCUGCAACAAUGGGACUGAGACAAGGCCCAAACUCCUGCGGGAGGCAGCAGUAGGGAAUCUUCGGCAAUGUACGAAAGUCUGACCGAGCAACGCCGCGUGAGUUUUUUUUUUUUACGG
rnacentral:rRNA from 1 species